rnacentral:rRNA from 1 species
CGUUGGUGACGCGGAGGGAUCAUUA